CGCUGGGAGCCAUCGCGACAUUCUCGUGGGCGUCCUUCCGGUUCCACACCGGCUGAUGAAACUCCUUUAUAAGAGCCCGGAGGUUAAGGUUGUGGCGAUGGAUUGGAUUCUGAGGCACCAUGGUGUUGGGCUUGGAUCGAUUCUAUUGCUUCUCUUCUCUAAAUGCUCUUCGUGAAUCAAUAGCUCACCAAAUUUGUUAAAGGAACAGCUGGAGAUUUAAUGUAGUUUCUUCUCCAAGAACUAGUGCCAAUAAUGUUGGCUCUAAAUAUCAGGAUUACUUGAAAUUAUUUGAGGUUCCUUUCACUCUGGAGGGUUCUAGUCGUUCUUUUUGUGGUUUCUAGUUUGAACAUCAAGAUUAUGGGGGCCAUCUGUUGUGUGGCUGCUCCAAGGAAGAAACCUUUGUUUUCCUAUUACAAGAUGAGCGGCAGUCAUUCUGCUCAUAAGAAUGCUGGAUGCUCCUCUAGAUGGAGCUUUCUACGUGGCAACCGAACUCAUACAAUGGAUGUUUUCGACAACCAUUCUGAGUUUUGUCAUCACAACAGUGGGAAUAUGGACUCAGAAUUUAAGCAUCGCAUAGAAACAGAUCAUGAAGGUCUUCUAGCUGGGAAGACAUCGGUAGCAGCUUCUCAGGCACUCAGACAACUGAAGUCUCCUGAUUAAUUGAGCAUUGGUUGUAGCUCCAAAGUGGCUGCUGAAGAUGGAUCCAUCAGAAGAAAUUUACCCUUCAAUCAUAGGAAAGAGACUCCAGUAGAUCACAAGUAAUUGCAACAUGUAUUGAGCCAUCAAUUUCUCCAUCUACAUCGGCUUCUAAAGCAGGCCCAUCAUCUUUGAAGACAAGCCAAACAUCAAGUAUGAUAUCAAGACUACUCUCUGAUAACAGAGUUCCACCUGUCAAAUCUUUAAAUGAGGACAGCUCUCUUGAAGGAAGGUAGUCUUUUGUU